rnacentral:rRNA from 1 species
CGAACGGGUGAGUAACACGUGGGUGACCUGCCCUUAGCUCUGGGAUAAGCCUGGGAAACUGGGUCUAAUACCGGAUAUGACUCCAUGACGCAUGUUGUGGGGUGGAAAGCCUUGUGCGGCUAGGGAUGGGGCCGCGGCCUAUCAGCUUGUUGGUGGGGUGAUGGCCUACCAAGGCGACGACGGGUAGCCGGCCUGAGAGGGCGACCGGCCACACUGGGACUGAGACACGGCCCAG